rnacentral:rRNA from 1 species
UAAAUAACAAGCCAAUAUUCCUCUGGUCUAUUGUGGUGACUCAUAAUAACUGAUCGAAUCCCAAGGCCUAUGGCCGCCAUAAGUCAUUCAAGUUUCUGCCCCAUCAACUUUCGAUGGUAGUGUAUUGGACUACCAUGGCGUUUACGGGUAACGGAAGAUUAAGGUUCGAUUCCGGAAAGGGAGCCUGAAAAACGGCUACCACAUCUAAGGAAGGCAGCAGGCGCGUAAAUUACCCAAUCCUGACUCAGGGAGGUAGUG